CCUACGGGGUGCUGCAGUGGGGAAUAUUGGACAAUGGGCGAAAGCCUGAUCCAGCCAUGCCGCGUGUGUGAAGAAGGCCUUCGGGUUGUAAAGCACUUUCAGUGGGGAAGAAAGCCUUGGGGCUAAUACCCUCGAGGAAGGACAUCACCCACAGAAGAAGCACCGGCUAACUCCGUGCCAGCAGCCGCGGUAAUACGGAGGGUGCGAGCGUUAAUCGGAAUUACUGGGCGUAAAGCGCGCGUAGGCGGUCUGAUAAGCCGGUUGUGAAAGCCCCGGGCUCAACCUGGGAACGACAUCCGGAACUGUCAGGCUAGAGUGCAGGAGAGGAAGGUAGAAUUCCCGGUGUAGCGGUGAAAUGCGUAGAGAUCGGGAGGAAUACCAGUGGCGAAGGCGGCCUUCUGGACUGACACUGACGCUGAGGUGCGAAAGCGUGGGUAGCAAACAGGAUUAGAUACCCCAGUAGUC
rnacentral:rRNA from 1 species